GGGUGGGAAGGCAGUCUGGCUGUGACAUCUGUCACCUCAUUAAUUGGCAGGACUGAUUUAGCUGAUCAGGUUGGGUAGGCAGGUACCCCCUUCUCCGUCACCGCUGUAUGUGUGUCCUUCCAGAGCUGCAUACUUGGUUGAAGAAGACCACCCCCCAACAGAGAAAGACUGUUCAGUCGUGGGUGUAUGAGUAGCCACGCUCCCUGCUACACCGCCAAUCUCUGGAGAACUGUACGCUUCCUACAACCCAAUAUUUACACCUCCUGU
rnacentral:snRNA from 1 species